rnacentral:rRNA from 1 species
GUCUGUCCUGCCCACUGAAGUAAAAUUUAAAGGGCCGCGGUAUUCUGACUGUGCGAAGGUAGCAUAAUCAUUAGUUUUUUAAUUGAAGGCUUGUAUGAAUGGUUUGACAAGAAUUAAUCUGUCUUUUUUAAAAUGAACAAAUUUUAUUUUUGAGUGAGAAAGCUCAAAUAAGUUAGAGGGACGAUAAGACCCUAUAAAUCUUUAUGAUAUCCACUAAAAUUAAAAAAAUAUUUAGUAAAAAUUUUUUUUUUAGUGGGAUCAUUGCGCUGGGGCGGUGUUAAUAUAAAAUAAACUGUUAAAAUGUUUUACAAUAUGUUUGAACGGAAAAGAUCUUAGUUAAAAAUUUAGAGUUUAAGUUACUUUAGGGAUAACAGCAUAAUUUCUUUUGAGAGUUCUAAUCGAAAAAGAAGAUUGUGACCUCGAUGUUGAAUUAAAAUCUCUUUAUAAUGUAGCAGUUAUAGAAGAAAGUCUGUUCGACUUUUAAUUUUUUACAUGAUUUG